GCGGAUUUUAGCUCAGUUGGGAGAGCGCCAGACUGAAGAAAAAAACUUACGGUCAAGUUAUCUGGAGGUCCUGUGUUCGAUCCACAGAAUUCGCA
rnacentral:tRNA from 1 species